UCCCUUAGAUGUUCUGGGCCGCACGCGCGCUACACUGUUCGACGCAGCGAGCCUUAACCUUGACCGAAAGGUUUGGGUAAUCUUCGGCAAAGUCGAACGUGAUGGGGAUCGAUCGUUGCAAUUAUUGAUCGUGAACGAGGAAUUCCUAGUAAGUGCAAGUCAUCAGCUUGCGCUGAUUACGUCCCUGCCCUUUGUACACACCGCCCGUCGCUACUACCGAUUGAAUGGUUUAGUGAGAUCUCUGGAUUGACGCUGGCUAGGGGGCGACCCUUGGCCAGACUGUUGAGAAACUGCUCAAACUUGAUCAUUUAGAGGAAGUAAAAGUCGUAACA
rnacentral:rRNA from 1 species